AUUGAACGCUGGCGGCAUGCCUUACACAUGCAAGUCGAACGGCAGCACGGGGCAACCUGGUGGCGAGUGGCGAACGGGUGAGUAAUGCAUCGGAACGUGCCAUUGAGUGGGGGAUAACGUAGCGAAAGUUGCGCUAAUACCGCAUAUUCUGUGAGCAGGAAAGCAGGGGACCGCAAGGCCUUGCGCUCUUUGAGCGGCCGAUGUCAGAUUAGCUAGUUGGUGAGGUAACGGCUUACCAAGGCGACGAUCUGUAGCGGGUCUGGGAGGAUGAUCCGCCACACUGGAACUGAGACACGGUCCAGACUCCUACGGGAGGCAGCAGUGGGGAAUUUUGGACAAUGGGCGCAAGCCUGAUCCAGCCAUGCCGCGUGAGUGAAGAAGGCCU
rnacentral:rRNA from 1 species